AUUGAACGCUGGCGGCAGGCUUAACACAUGCAAGUCGAGCGGUAGCACAAGAGAGCUUGCUCUCUGGGUGACGAGCGGCGGACGGGUGAGUAAUGUCUGGGAAACUGCCUGAUGGAGGGGGAUAACUACUGGAAACGGUAGCUAAUACCGCAUAACGUCGCAAGACCAAAGAGGGGGACCUUCGGGCCUCUUGCCAUCAGAUGUGCCCAGAUGGGAUUAGCUAGUAGGUGGGGUAAUGGCUCACCUAGGCGACGAUCCCUAGCUGGUCUGAGAGGAUGACCAGCCACACUGGAACUGAGACACGGUCCAGACUCCUACGGGAGGCAGCAGUGGGGAAUAUUGCACAAUGGGCGCAAGCCUGAUGCAGCCAUGCCGCGUGUGUGAAGAAGGCCUUCGGGUUGUAAAGCACUUUCAGCGAGGAGGAAGGUGGUGAACUUAAUACGUUCAUCAAUUGACGUUACUCGCAGAAGAAGCAACGGCUAACUCCGUG
rnacentral:rRNA from 1 species